AAAUUUUCAGAUUUUCACUGCUGAAUUUCAAUUUCCCUCUACAUCUCUAUUCUAAACCCUAAUUCCCUCCUUCCCCAAUUGCAAAACACCCAAUCUCACCAAAACUUCCGAUAGUUACAGGUUUCAUAUUUCAAAUUCAUGAUUUCAAGAACAAAUCUUCUAAUAACUUAUCGUUUUUGUUCAAUAUCAUGCCACCAUACAUCCACUUCUUCAACUUCUAAUUAUCCACCUACUCCACCGGCCGCAUCCUGCACAUCCUCAUCGUCCACCUCGUAGGUGGUAAUUCGACUUUCUAGAUUUGCAUUAAAAGCUUUUGCAUAAGCUUUCUGGAUUUGGGGGUUUCGGAAGUGAAGGUGCUGGUUGUAGGUGGCGAAUGGUGGUGUUAGGGUGGGGAUGAAGAUGGUGUUCGUCGGUGUCUAGCGAAUAUCACGCUAUUGGAGCCAUCGAAGUUGCAGGUCUGGUGCUUUAGAAUAACAAGAUGUGCAGGUAACAUAGAAAUCGAAUCAUGAAUAAUCACGCUAGAAACAGGGAACAACGCUUGGUUCGCCAAUGGUGCGGUCGUGUUAGGUAUGGGUGAUACUAAUGUUCUGUCCACAAUUUGCUCGGCUAAAGGCAACGAUUGUUAGAGAUUUUUUUUGCCUCUUAUUGAACGUAUGUUUCUGGUAUAUUGUUUAAUUUGAGUUUGCAUUUUGAAUUGUUGCUAGAGAUUGUCUAAUCAGGAGGUUUAAAUGUUUAAUGUUGGUCAGUGGAGAAUAAACAUCAUUUACAUACAUAUGUGAUCAGAUAUGAAUUAAGAGGAAGAGUGAAGUUUUAACAUUGACUAGUGAAUAAUAAAAUUUUGGAUUGUUAUUAGACAGAUUGUGUAAUCUGGAAAUGUCAACAUUGAUUAGAAAUUAAUGAAGCAAUGAACAAAUACAAGAUAAGUUAAAUGAAGCAGCGUAAUUAUUUAGUUAGGUUUAUCUUGCACAAGUUAAUGAAGUAAUGAACUUAUCUUGUAUUCUUCUUCCCCAAGGUGGGGCUGUGGAAGGUCAUAUCACCGCAGUCCAAGUUACUAUUCUCCUUCCCUAGGUGGGGCCGCUACUCUCAGUAUGCAUGUAUUUCUCAUCUGUACUAAAGGGGCAAAAUGAGCCGGUUGGAUAUUUGAGUAAACAGUUACACUGGGUCGGUCUGGGUCAACCGUGGAUCUCUUUUGUUCGUCUCUUAUUAAUAAAUAGUUGUCAUUAAAAUACUGAUUUAUGCAUAUAAAACAGUUGAUCGUGAUAAAAAUGACCCAAAUUAACCCAUUUAAUUUAUAGUCGUAGCCGUGAGGUGGUUAUAAUGUGCGAGUAAAUGUGGAACAACUCCAUUUUGCCCCGAGACAAAAGGUAUAGAGAGAGGUCUUACUCGAGGUCAAGGAGCCCAUAUGAUUCCGUAAGCAGGAGCCUCAGCCCGGUGAGGAGCAGGAGUCCAGAAGGUUAUUAGUUGUGAUGUGAUGCCAGACGAGGGAGAUCUUGUAACAGGUGGAGAUCUGUAUAUUGCUGUGUUUGACAACAGUUUAGUUGAACAUCUCGUUGCUCUUCCUCCUGAUGAGAUGAGAAAGAUAACAUAUAUUGCACUACCUGGCCAAUACUCAUUGAAGGUUUUCCUUUUAAACUCCUUUAGGCAUCUGUAUCUUUAACUACACGUCUACAAGACAAAGCCAGUUACACACUCCUCGCUUAUGGCUUGAUUUAUGUUGUUUCAGGAGUCCUCUGUCUUGGUUUUCUCAAACGGGCUCGCCAAAACAAAGAAGCUUCAGCACAGCAAGCCACUAAAGAUCUUCAAGAACUUGAGCUGACGCCGAGCUGAACUUGAAGCACUGCUGAUCGUUGAUACCCCAUGAUGCAGAUAUCAAUCCACAAAUGCGCGACUAGUUUGCUAUAACUAUAACGAAGUAGAGUGGGUGACUUUGUUAUUUCUUUGGUUUCUAUUGUAUGGAAACUGGAUUUGAAUCUCGUGUUCUUGAUGCCCUCUUCCCUUCAGUUCUUGUUCUUGGUGGGACAUGUGCCAUUCCUCGUGCAUUUGGUUGUGGGAAAACAAUUAUCAGUCAAGCUCUAUCAAAGACGCUCUUGUUUAUGUUGAUUGUGGGGAAUGAGGAAAUGAAAUAGCAGAAGUUCUUAUGGAAUAUCCUAAAGUGACCAUGAUGUUGCCUGAUGGCCUUGAAGAAUCUGUCAUGAAACAUACCACACUUGUUGGCAAUACAUCUAAUAUGCAUGUCGCUGCUCGUGAGGCUUCAAUUUAUACGGCGUAGUGGAUCACAAUGUGUCGCACAAGGAGAUGCGGCUGCUGUUGUUGCAAGUGCUGCUAGGAGUGAUGCAGGUUGAGACACAAGUGCUGCUAGGAGUGAUGCAGGUAAGACCAUAUGGUUUAUUUUCUACAAUUCAAGAUUGUAUUGGUGCAUCCAGCGCAUGGCCCUAUCCAUUCAUCUCGGUAGUCCAUGAGGAUUGAGGACGCAUGAUGACUCAAGAUUUUAUGCUUCUUAUUUCUUUAGUUGCUUUUAAUUUCUUUGUUUAAUGUUAAGACUUUAUGUUAUAUAAUGUUAUAACUUAUUUAUGGUUAGUGUUUUUGUUA